AAUAUUGGGACAUAUAAAAAAAAAAGACAACUCGGUUCCGCAGAGUCGCUGUUGACAUUAUAGUUGCACAGGCACUUUGUUGACUCUAGAGAACCACGGGCCAAUCGCACAUCCCCGUGACGGCGACUUUGCAUUCGGAUGUCAUCCAUAUCAACUUUCGAUGCCAGUUUCUGCGCCUAACAUGGUGACCACGGGUAACGGGGAAUCAGUGUUCCAUUCCGUACAGGGACCCUGAGAAACUGCCACCACAUCCAAGGAAGGCAGCAGGCGUGCAAAUGACCCACUCCCGACGCAGGAAGGUAGUGA